CAGUAGCCACGGUAAUACGAAGGGGGCUAGCGUUGCUCGGAAUUACUGGGCGUAAAGGGCGCGUAGGCGGAUAGUUUAGUUGGGGGUGAAAGCCCGGGGCUCAACCUCGGAACUGCCUUCAAUACUGGCUAUCUUGAGUACGGGAGAGGUGUGUGGAACUCCGAGUGUAGAGGUGAAAUUCGUAGAUAUUCGGAAGAACACCAGUGGCGAAGGCGACACACUGGCCCGUUACUGACGCUGAGGCGCGAAAGCGUGGGGAGCAAACGGGAUUAGAGACCCCCGUAGUCCCUGUCUCUUAUAC
rnacentral:rRNA from 1 species